UUCCAGAGAGUUCUUCCUGGAGCUGACCAUGGGUGGCAGGAUCCAGUUCCCCAUCGAGAUGUCCAUGCCCUGGAUCCUCACAGACCACAUUCUGGAGACCAAGGAGGCCUCUAUGAUGGAGUAUGUGCUGUAUCCUCUGGACCUCUAUAAUGACAGUGCCCACUACGCCCUGACCAAGUUCAGGAAGCAGUUCCUCUACGAUGAGAUAGAAGCAGAGGUCAACCUGUGUU